GUCCACAUAGCUCAGCAGGAUAGAGCACAGGAUUCCUUAUAAAUUGGGGGUUGCAUCUGGAAACAAUGCAAUCGAUCUGCUCAAAGUCGGGGAACGCUUCGCUGGUCCGCCAGCAUGCCAAUCCCGAGCCAAGCUCCGAAGCAAUUCGGUGAAGGUGUAGAGACUGGACGGGCAGCACCUAAGGGCUUCGGCCUACGGUGAAGGGACAGUCCAGACCACGAACGUCUUAUGACGGCGGCUAAAGUCGAAGUGGUAUGAAUCCUGGGGUCGGAGGUUCGAAUCCUCUUGUGGACACCA
rnacentral:tRNA from 1 species